rnacentral:rRNA from 1 species
AUUGAACGCUGGCGGCAGGCCUAACACAUGCAAGUCGAGCGGAUGAAGGGAGCUUGCUCCUGGAUUCAGCGGCGGACGGGUGAGUAAUGCCUAGGAAUCUGCCUGGUAGUGGGGGAUAACGUCCGGAAACGGGCGCUAAUACCGCAUACGUCCUGAGGGAGAAAGUGGGGGAUCUUCGGACCUCACGCUAUCAGAUGAGCCUAGGUCGGAUUAGCUAGUUGGUGGGGUAAAGGCCUACCAAGGCGACGAUCCGUAACUGGUCUGAGAGGAUGAUCAGUCACACUGGAGCUGAGACACGGUCCAGACUCCUACGGGAGGCAGCAGUGGGGAAUAUUGGACAAUGGGCGAAAGCCUGAUCCAGCCAUGCCGCGUGUGUGAAGAAGGCCUUCGGAUUGUAAAGCACUUUAAGUUGGGAGGAAGGGCAGUAAGUUAAUACCUUGCUGUUUUGACGUUACCAACAGAAUAAGCACCGGCUAACUUCGUG